UACGAAGGGGGCUAGCGUUGUUCGGAAUUACUGGGCGUAAAGCGUGCGCAGGCGGCUUCUCAAGUCAGGGGUGAAAGCCCAGAGCUCAACUCUGGAAUUGCCUUUGAGACUGAGUGGCUUGAGUACGGGAGAGGUGAGUGGAAUUCCCGGUGUAGAGGUGAAAUUCGUAGAUAUUGGGAAGAACACCGGUGGCGAAGGCGGCUCACUGGCCCGUAACUGACGCUCAUGCACGACAGCGUGGGGAUCAAACAGG
rnacentral:rRNA from 1 species